AUUGUUCUGUGACUGAGUGGCGGACGGGUGAGUAACGCGUAGAUAACCUGCCUCACACAGGGGGAUAACAGUUGGAAACGACUGCUAAUACCGCAUAAGCGCACAGCACCGCAUGGUGCAGUGUGAAAAACUCCGGUGGUGUGAGAUGGAUCCGCGUCUGAUUAGCUAGUUGGCGGGGUAACGGCCCACCAAGGCGACGAUCAGUAGCCGGCCUGAGAGGGCGACCGGCCACAUUGGGACUGAGACACGGCCCAGACUCC
rnacentral:rRNA from 1 species